UACAGAGGGUGCGAGCGUUGUUCGGAAUUAUUGGGCGUAAAGGGCGCGUAGGCGGUGCGGCAAGUCACCUGUGAAAUCUCCCGGCUCAACUGGGAGCCUGCAGGCGAAACUGCCGUGCUUGAGUGUGGGAGAGGUGCGUGGAAUUCCCGGUGUAGCGGUGAAAUGCGUAGAUAUUGGGAAGAACACCGGUGGCGAAGGCGGCGACCUGGUCCGUGACUGACGCUGAGGCGCGAAAGCGUGGGGAGCAAACAGG
rnacentral:rRNA from 1 species